ACGCUAGCUACAGGCUUAACACAUGCAAGUCGAGGGGCAGCAUGGUCUUAGCUUGCUAAGGCCGAUGGCGACCGGCGCACGGGUGAGUAACACGUAUCCAACCUGCCGUCUACUCUUGGACAGCCUUCUGAAAGGAAGAUUAAUACAAGAUGGCAUCAUGAGUCCGCAUGUUCACAUGAUUAAAGGUAUUCCGGUAGACGAUGGGGAUGCGUUCCAUUAGAUAGUAGGCGGGGUAACGGCCCACCUAGUCUUCGAUGGAUAGGGGUUCUGAGAGGAAGGUCCCCCACAUUGGAACUGAGACACGGUCCAAACUCCUACGGGAGGCAGCAGUGAGGAAUAUUGGUCAAUGGGCGAGAGCCUGAACCAGCCAAGUAGCGUGAAGGAUGACUGCCCUAUGGGUUGUAAACUUCUUUUAUAAAGGAAUAAAGUCGGGUAUGGAUACCCGUUUGCAUGUACUUUAUGAAUAAGGAUCGGCUAACUCCGUGCCAGCAGCCGCGGUAAUACGGAGGAUCCGAGCGUUAUCCGGAUUUAUUGGGUUUAAAGGGAGCGUAGAUGGAUGUUUAAGUCAGUUGUGAAAGUUUGCGGCUCAACCGUAAAAUUGCAGUUGAUACUGGAUAUCUUGAGUGCAGUUGAGGCAGGCGGAAUUCGUGGUGUAGCGGUGAAAUGCUUAGAUAUCACGAAGAACUCCGAUUGCGAAGGCAGCCUGCUAAGCUGCAACUGACAUUGAGGCUCGAAAGUGUGGGUAUCAAACAGGAUUAGAUACCCUGGUAGUCCACACGGUAAACGAUGAAUACUCGCUGUUUGCGAUAUACUGCAAGCGGCCAAGCGAAAGCGUUAAGUAUUCCACCUGGGGAGUACGCCGGCAACGGUGAACUCAAAGGGAAUUGACGGGGGCCCGCACAAGCGGAGGAACAUGUGGUUUUAAUUCGAUGAUACGAGAGGAACCUUACCCGGGCUUAAAUUGCAGAUGAAUUACGGUGAAAGCCGUAAGCCGCAAGGCAUCUGUGAAGGUGAUGCAUGGUUGUCGUCAGCUCGUGCCGUGAGGUGUCGGCUUAAGUGCCAUAACGAGCGCAACCCUUGUUGUCAGUUACUAACAGGUUCCGCUGAGGACUCUGACAAGACUGCCAUCGUAAGAUGUGAGGAAGGUGGGGAUGACGUCAAAUCAGCACGGCCCUUACGUCCAGGGCUACACACGUGUUACAAUGGGGGGUACAGAGGGCCGCUACCACGCGAGUGGAUGCCAAUCCCCAAAACCUCUCUCAGUUCGGACUGGAGUCUGCAACCCGACUCCACGAAGCUGGAUUCGCUAGUAAUCGCGCAUCAGCCACGGCGCAGAGAAUACGUUCCCGGGCCUUGUACACACCGCCCGUCAAGCCAUGGGAGCCGGGGGUACCUGAAGUGCGUA
rnacentral:rRNA from 1 species